rnacentral:tRNA from 1 species
AUUCUUUUAGUACUGAUCAAUACAAUUGACUUCCAAUCAAUUAACUUCGGUAAAAACCCGAAAAAGAAUA